UGGGAGCGCCGCGGAUCUGUCAGGACAAUAGAGGGCACAAGAAGAGGAAGAAGAGAGUUCGACCCGAGCCGCCUGUCAUUCGCGCAGAAGAUACAAGGCACCUCCAUAUCCAAGGAAGCCAGACUCUCGUCCACAUCUCACUACACCAUCCCUGUCGUUCCUGCCAACCACCACAGUGUUUCCAGUGUGUGCUUCCUGCUCCCCAAAGGCCAUGCCAAACAAGGGACAGAACAGAAGGCCUAAAGGCUUCAUGGCGGAUAAGAAACCAAGUCAGGAACGUAUGAAGCCAACUGUGAAGGAAAAAGAGAAGGAGCAGAAGGAACAAAAGCCAAAAGAUAAAGAUAAGAAAUAGUUGAAAGGCAGCCCCUUCAAGGUGUGCAUGUGGUUGCUGCCGCCACAGUUUCAGUUCCUGCACAAGUUUAUGUCCACAAAUCAUGCUACACUUUCUCCCCCACAUGCAGUGCCCAUCACUCCUUUGCCUCUUCAUUCACCAACAGCAGCAGCAGUAACAGCACCAACAACAACUUUAGUUAUAGGCCACAAGAAUGAAAAGGGGCAGGACUAGUCAUUCUUUUCUCUCUCUUUCUCUCAGAUUAUCCAUUACAGUUUGAGAAGUCAACUUUUACUCACAUUGUUGAUAAAAGUAUUAUUAUUUUAUGUUAUUAAUGUUAUUAUUAUUUAUUAUUAUUAUUAUCAUUAUUAUUAUUAUUAAUAUUAUUAUUAUUAUUAUUAUUAUUAUUAUUAUUAUUAUUAUUAUUAUUAUUAUUAUUAUUAUUAUUAUUAUUAUCAUCAAUAUCACUAAUACUAUUUACAGCUGAAAGAGGAAGGCUUGAAUGCUGUUUUUCCAAAGGAAAUCAAUUAAAAAAUGUUGUUGACAGAGCAUGUAUUUUAGGCAGAGAGAAUAAGAUUUUUUUGACACCAAGCCACCUGCUACAUUCAUUAUAUGCUAAUGGAUUUUCUCACUUUACGAGUUUCUCUAGUCAACCAGUAUAUUACCAGUAUACUGUGCUUUUUGCUUUAGCAUAUAGAGCCUAUAUUUAUUACAGUACUACUCUUGAGGGACUUCAACAAUGAUAUAAAGAUAAUGUAUUCUAAUUGAAUCAAAAUAAUGGUCAUAGUAAUACAAGUCUAGUUCUAGUUUUGUACGAAGACUGGAAAUCUUGUAAGCUGUAUAGUACAAAAUUCACAUCGUCUUUAUUAUCUCAUAAGUCUUUUAAAUUUACGUCCACCUAGAAAUAGUACUGUGUGAAUUACUUAAUCAGAUCAACUUGUAAUAUAUUGUUUUUAUCAAAUAUUGCAUUAACUGCCUUUAAAAAUUGUUUUGAUAUUAAAGGCACUAAUAUUUUAUUGUUCAUUCUGUGUGUGUGUGUGUGUGUGUGUGUGUGUGUGUGUGUGUGUGUGUGUGUGUGUGUGUGUGUUAAUGUAUCUGCAUGUAUGUAUAUGCAUGUUCAUCAUGUUGUAAUGCUAAUACUGAUACAUGUCUCAUUGUAUAGAAAUUACAUAGAGGAGGAAGACCCGAGAGAGGGAUCCCAGUCCCCUCAGACUGUCUCUUCCAUUCACCUCCUGUGACUCAAGGAAUACAGAGGUUCAUAUUCUGUCCCUCAUAACUCAAGGCUGAAAAUAUGUUUAGCAACCCAGGCUGACUGUACUGUAAAGUAAUAUAAAAUACAGUGUGGUGGGUAAUGAGAUCAUUACAUCUCUAUGUUUUCUCUUAGUUACCCCUUUUGUAAGGAAUAUUAGCUUGCUUGAUUAUUACUUUUAUGAUCACUAUACCAUAAAUUUGAGUCCUGAGCCAGGACCAUCCUGCUCACCAGUUAAGUGUAUAAGCAUGCAAUGUAAACCAUGGAGAUCUUUCAACCUGGCAAGAGUGGUAGAUUAGCAAUCCUACCUUCCUUGAGUGUGGGUGUGUUUGCAUGGCACAAGAGCCCAAGAAGUAGUCUUUGCCAUACUCUAAGAAACAAACAAAGCAUUUUUUAUAAAAAAAAUAUAAAUUAUUAUUAUUAUCAUUAUAUUGGAUAUCCCAUUGAGUGUAAUAGACACCUAACUAUCCUUCUGGAUGAGGAAGGCAUUUGCACAUGCCAUGUCAGUUUGUUAUUUCAUUGUCACUUGGUAUGUAGAAGCAGCUUGACUGCACACUCCAUGACCAGGCUGGAAGAAAAUUGUCUGUAUGUUCCCUACAUAUAUAAAAAGUUGAAUGAAAGGAACAGAGCAAGGGGACUAAGAAUCCCUUCCUCUGUAUUUUAUUUUGACAAUGGGACAAAAAAUGGUGUCUUGCAUGCCCUCCUUUAAUGUAAACUUAAACCUUGUGCCAUGGGAGAAUGCUCCCAAGUGCCACUCCCAUGAAAAUCCUGUUUUUGCAUGCCUGCAAUAUCUCAAAACAUCUCCUACCAUGUGGGGUCAUUUGGAGCAAUAUCCUGCUGAGACAAAAUGGUCAGAAAUUCUUUACAGUAUACAGUAUUACUUUCCUUACUUGAUCCAGGAAUAUAGGAGCCUCUCCUCUGUGGUAAAAUAUUCCAGGCAUCUUGAGUCAUCACAGCUGUCCACAUUACACUAGCCUCAUGGAUCACCAUUUUGUGCUGGGUUUAUAGUUAUUAAUUAUUAGUGCUAUAACUAUGUCUAGAAUCUUGUUAUAUUGUAUCUCUUGCUAUUUGCUAACAUUAUUUUCAUGCUAACUGCUCUCCUGAUCUUGCUAACUGCAUGCCUCCCUUCCUCCUGCAGCCUCACUGCACAAGACUUUCUUCUUUCUCUUAUCCUUAUUCUAUCCACCAGUAUUCUCAAUCAUUCAUCCCUUUAUCUAGUAAAAUCUGGAACUCCUUUCUUCCUCCUGUAUUUCCUUCCUAUGACUUGAACUCUUUCAAGAGGGAGGUUUCAAGACAAUUAUCCUUUUUUUUUUUUUUUUUUUUUAUCAUAUUAUCUGAUAUUUCUUUGGGAACUGGCAUUUAAGUGGAACUUUUUUUUAAUUCAAAUUUUUUUUUGUCCUUGGCCACUGCCCUUCUUACAUGAAAAAUAGAAAAAAAAAUACAGGAAAAAAACUAGCUUUAUCUCUUCACAUACAUGAUGUGCUUUGAACGUUGAUAACUAUUAACUAGUUUUAUUGAUUUAAAUCUUCUUUGUGUCUGUAGGAAGCUGAUACCAUAAGGAUUAAUUUGGUAUGUGUUCCACAAAAAAAAAAAAUCAUAUGGUUGAAACUUGUGAUAUAUGAAUUUUAAUAUUGGCAAACUUUAGGAGCAAUUUCUGGUGUUUUUUUUUUUUUUUUUUUUUUGGGGGGGGGGCAGGGCCUUGGAUCAUUCUCCCAUGGCACUUCUCACAUCUAUGUACAUGUCUUAUUAUUGAUUAUUAUUAUUAUUAUUAUUAUUAUUAUUAUUAUUAUUAUUAUUAUUGUUAUUAUUAUUAUUAUUGUUAUUAUUAUUAUUAUUGUUAUUAUUAUUAUUAUUAUUAUUAUUAUUAUUAUUAUUAUUAUUAGUCUUAUUGAUUAUUAUUAUUAUUAUUAUUAUUAUUAUUAUUAUUAUUAUUAUUAUUAUUAUUAUUAUUAUUAUUACUAUUACUAUUAUUAUUAUUAUUAUUAUUAUUAUUAUUAUUAUUAUUAUUAUUAUUAUUAUUACUACUACUACUACUACUACUACUACUACUACUACUACUACUACUACUACUACUACUACUUCUACUACUACUACUACUACUACUACUACUACUACUACUAAUAAUAAUAAUAAUAAUAAUAUAAUUUUUAAUAUUUUUAUUAUUUUUGUACUGUUUGUAAUAUUAAAAUAAUUUGCCGUCAUAUGGUGAGGAAAGCAGGUUUUAGUUGCAAAAGGGUACUGGGAACAUCUUCAGUGUGCUUUGAUUUUUGCAAUGACAAGAUAUUAUGUCUUAUUUGAGUUAUUUCCCUUGUGGGGGAAGAUAGCCUGAUUUUAUAUAUAUAUAUAUAUAUAUAUAUAUAUAUAUAUAUAUAUAUAUAUAUAUAUAUAUAUAUAUAUAUAUAUAUAUAUAUAUAUAUAUAAUUUAUUUGUUUAUUGUUAUUGUUUAUACAUACUUAUAAAGAUUUAUUCUAUCAGUUAUAGUGUGACACACAUUUGCCUUUUUCAUUGUUAUCUUUAGUCACUUAUUUGAAGAGGCAGCCUCCCAAUUAGGAGAAAUAAGUAAGCCAGCCCUCCACAGAAACUAAAGGAGAUGCACAGUGCCCUAAAAUUCUAGUGUCCCAUGUUUCAUAAUCAUUCCUAGUCAUAUGUAUCUUUAUUCUUGUGUGGGGGGGAACACUGCAGAUAGGCCUAAUUUGUAUUUGGAUUUUUUUUUUAAGAUAUAUUUUUAUCUAAUAUUUGUAAGCCAUUGAAAUUCCUAUAUAAUAUUCAAUAUUCAUAAGUGUAAGCGUGAUGUUUGUUAUAAUUACUGCAGUCUUCACAUGGUAUAACUUUUCUGUCCAAUAUUUGUACAUGUUUGAAAGGUGGAGCUUCCUUUUGUCACCACCAUUCCUUCAUUUUACUGUGAUGAAAAGAUUAAGAUCAUGAAUCUUUCAGAUAUAUUUUGUUUAAAUGACAUCAGGUGAAAAUAAGAUUAGUCCCAAUUUUCUACUUGUAAGAAUGAGAAAAGUAGACCUCAUAUAUUCAACUUAUAUUUUUGUACAAAGUAUGAAGCUCUGCUAGUCACAUGUAAGCCCUCUUGAGCAUAGAUGCAAGAAACAGACUUACCACCCUGUUCCUCACCAAAGAUAUGCAUUUUCUUUAAAUCAAUAAUAGGUCCUUUGUGGUAGCUGAUAUCUUCCAGAUAUGAGGGUUGGUCUUUUUCAUCAUACUAUUUGCUAUCUUUUGUAUUAUUUUAAUAACUUCUAUAUUCUACCUGAGAAUGGUGCUGGGUUGAGGACCUGCUCACUCUUAUCCAUUUUCCUUGUUCUUUAAGUGGUGAUUGGGAUUCGUAGGUGUAGCAUCAAUUAGCUUCUUAAAUGUGGCUGGGUUUCUUUAGAUGAGUGGAGACUGGUGCUAAGUUUAGCUCAACUGUAAAUGAGUCCAGUUAUGUGGAGCACUCAGAACUGCCACCUGAGUGGCACUCUUAGGGAUGUGUAUGAGUGUUUCCAUACUGUAUCUACUUUACAUAAAUCCCUAAUUUGUCUGGGCACUUCUGAGGCUUGUUGCAGGUAAUGGAGAAAUCCAUAGCAUUAUGCUCAUGAUGGACCUUGAUGUGCAUAGCUAUGGUGUUAGGUGACAGCUGGUGUGAAAACUAUUGGGUAUACUGAGGUGUCUCAUCCCAACCAACCAUUAAACAGCAGUUAUUGCUAAUAUAACAACAGCAUGAAUGCCUAGCCAUUUCAUAUAAUUUUAGGGUUUUCUGGGAUUCUUUUUGGCCAUAGUUGCCCCAGUAUAUUUUUUCAGCUAUUCUUUUGUGAGGUGGUUGGCUGCUGCUUCAUAGAAUACUAUUAUGUCCCACUGUGGGGGAGUUCUUAGGAACAGGUGUCAGAUAUAGAUAGGCAGGUAUAUGGUAGGCCUUUUUAUAUAGAUAAAGGAAAACUUUCAUUGUAGGAAUCUUGAUUACAGAAUUAAUCAUGGAGCUGAGGGUAAUGAACUAAUAUUUCAAUGGAUGUUUUCUUUAGUGAUUACAAUUUUGAGCUCCAACAUUUAACUCAUAAUACUAAUCAGUCAAUAUUAUUUUAGAAAAGCUUUCCAACAUCAGUAUGACACAAUUUGUUAAGUUUCAGUUUUGUCAAUAUCUUUUGUAAGCACUGAUUAUUGUUUGUAUAGAAAUACUAGACUGAAGUAGCCUUAUUUUAAAUAUUUUUUAUGAUUGAUUAUCAGUUUUUCUUUCCUGUCUAAAGUUAGUCUGUUUAAGGUCUGCCUGAACACAUGAGUGUUUUGAAAGAAUUGCAUAUUUGACACUGACAAAAAUGUAAUGCUAUAAAAAAUUGAAUUAUAGUUAUCAGUGGCUACUUGAAGCCGAUUCAAUUAAAUAAUUUUGUUAUACCUUAAAUAAUGAAUAGUUCAUGGUACAUGUCUUGCAGUGUUAGCUACUAAGUAAUGCAACAUUUUUGUUAUUAUUAUUUUUUUUUACCCCAAAACUACACAUGUGAAAACAGUAAUGAACAAGAUACAGCCCAUGAGUAAAAUAUUUGUGCCAAAUAUUUUCUAUCUGCCAUCAGAUCUUGUGACAAUACAUACAUAUGCACACACACACACACACACACACACACACACACACACACACACACACACACACACACACACACACACACACACACACACACACACACACACAUUCCGGAGAUGAGUAAGUCGACCUAUGAAGAGAGAUUUAAGAAUGUUGGAAAUUCCUACCCUUGAAAAUAGGAGAGAGAGAGAAAGGAGAUUUAAUAAACAUCUAUAGAAUGAUAAAUGGUAUGGAAAAUGUGAACAAAGAAUGUUUUAUAACUUUAGACACACAGAGUACAAGGGGACACAGUAAGAAGUUGAAGAAAGUUAACUGUAGAAGAGACAUCAAGAAGUAUAGUUUUCCUCAAUUGUGAAUAAAUGGAAUGAACUCAGUGAAGACGUUGUCAAUGCCAUAAUUGUCCAUGCCUUUUUAAGAUCAAACUGGAUAGAUAUAGAGACAGGAUACUAUGAGAUUACUCCCCUCCUGUAAACCACAACUAGGUAAAUACACACACACACACACACACACACACACACACACACACGGCUCAUAACUGAGGGGCCAGGGUUUGAUCCCCUGGGCAGACAGAGAUUACUUGGGUGUGUUUCCUUUCAUGUGUAGCUCCUGUUCACCUAGCAGUGAGUAGGUACGGGAUGUACGGUGUGUUAUGUGUGAGUGGUCUCAGUCCAACCCAAAGAUUGGUCAGUAUGAGCUCUUAGUUCUUUCCUUAGAGUGAUAGCUGGCUGUCUCAAGAGAGACCAGCAUCAGACUGUACAGUGAAUUAGAAUUACACACACACACACACACACACACACACACACACACUCAGCUCACAACCAAGAAGACCCAGGUUUGAAUCCCAGAUGCAGUGAGGCAAAUGGGCAGCAAGUAGGUAUGGGGUGUAACCUGAGGGGUUGUGACCUUGCUGUCCUGGUGUGUGGUGUGUCAGUGGUCUCAGCCCUACCCGAAGAUUGGUCACUAUGAGCUCUGAGCUUUUUCCUUAGGGGAAUGGCUGGCUGGAUGACCAGCAGACGACCGUAGAGGAAUCACACACACAUACACACACACGUAAGGAAGUUGGAGAGAGUUCAGAGAGCAGCAACAAAGAUGGUACUAAGUACCAGGGACUUGUCAUAUGAAGAGGGAUUGGCAAGUGUAGCUGCACCAGCAGGUCUUCAUUAGCUCUCAGGUGAUAUGUUUUACUGAUCACAUCCAUCAUUGUAGGGUUGAGGAAAGACAGUUCUCUCUCUCUUACAUUUAUUGAUGAGGUAGGCAUGACCAUAAGAACUGCAAACAAGUUCUUGGUCUCAAUUUCUUAUAAAAUAACAUUAUACACUGAUAUUAAACACUUUCAACAUAUUACAGUAUUCAUUAACAAUACAUGCAAUCAACUUGGCACUGUGACAAUCAGUUUUUACUACAAAAUUAAAGUAUUUACCUCGGUCACCUUCCUGCCUGUCUUUGAGCGUGACUUGGCCGUGAGUGACUCCCACAGGCAACCAGCGGGUUAACCACACUCUACUAACAAGUGAGCAUCAGCCUUGGUGCUUCAUAUAGCAUUGAGUACUGAUACUUACACAUAUUACACGUCUUCAUGUAAGUAGAAAAGUGUUGAACAUUUCACUUAUAAUUACCAAGGAAUAAUGAUGUGAGGUACAUACACUUUAUGUACAGUAACAGCAAGGUUACACCUACCAACAUUGAAAAAAAGAGAGAAAGGGGAGACUUGAUUGCAAUAUAUAAAGCUUAUGAAAAAGUGGAGGAGAUGGACCAGAGUGACCUAAUGGUUUGGGCUACACAAGAUACUAGAGGACAUGGAAAGAGGCUGAAGAAGAAUGCUUAUAGAAGAGAUGUCAAAAAGUAUAGUUUCCCAUAUAGAUGUAUUGAUGCUUGAAACAGUCUGGAUGAGGAGAUAGUAAAUGCAAGAAAUAUACAGGGAUCCAAGGCAAAGUUGGAUAUUAAAGGAUAUGGAGAUGGGAUCACAAGUAUUACUUUUUCCUAUAAAGCACAACUAAUACACACACACACACACACACACACACACACACACACACACACACACACACACACACACAUGCAUACAAUGUUAUUCCUCACCUAGUGGUCCAAAAUCUACAAUUGUGCUGAUCAUUUUUAGAACAAUUGCUUUAUAAAAAAAAAAAAAAAAGAUAAUCUUUAACUUGUCUAGAUAUGCAUUUUCAUGUAAACACUCUGAAGGCAGGAUAGACUGGUUAUGAGAGGAUUGCCAUGAGGGACUGAGCCCUUGACAUGGGCACUCAUAUUGAAAGUGAGUCCAUGUUACCUGUUGGGCUUAGGUGAUAAAGGCCUGGUGGACUUUCAACAGCCUUAACUCCCCUUGUCAUUAUCCACAGAUUAUAAAACUAUAUGAGACAGACAGAAAAA